GGGAGACCAGAGUUAACAAAAUCUUGGAAUUUUUUGGUCUCAGAUAAUAGAUAUAUUGGAUUUGAUGAAUUUGAUUUUGGAUGGGGAAACCCCAUUUUUGGAGGGAUCUUAAAGGCUAUAUCUUUCACUAGUUUUGGUGUUUCUGUUAAAAAUGACAAAGGAGAAAAAGGUGUUUUGAUAGCUAUAAGUUUACCUCCAUUGGCCAUGAAAAAACUUCAAGAUAUCUACAACAUGACUUUCAGAGUCAUAAUUUCAAAUAUAUAAGGCUUUUUCCUAUUUGAAAGUACUUGUAUUUUAGUAUUUUGUUUCAAUUUAUGUGACAGUGUUUGAAAAAAUAAACGACUUGUUUGUAUAAAU
rnacentral:misc_RNA from 1 species